CCCAGACUCCUACGGGAGGCAGCAGUGGGGAAUAUUGCACAAUGGGGGAAACCCUGAUGCAGCAACGCCGCGUGAGUGAAGAAGUAUUUCGGUAUGUAAAGCUCUAUCAGCAGGGAAGAAAAUGACAGUACCUGACUAAGAAGCCCCGGCUAACUACGUGCCAGCAGCCGCGGUAAUACGUAGGGGGCAAGCGUUAUCCGGAUUUACUGGGUGUAAAGGGAGCGUAGACGGUUGUACAAGUCUGAUGUGAAAGCCCACGGCUCAACUGUGGGAGUGCAUUGGAAACUGUAGAACUAGAGUAUCGGAGAGGCAAGUGGAAUUCCUAGUGUAGCGGUGAAAUGCGUAGAUAUUAGGAGGAACACCAGUGGCGAAGGCGGCUUGCUGGACGAAAACUGACGUUGAGGCUCGAAAGCGUGGGGAGCAAACAGGAUUAGAUACCCUAGUAUAG
rnacentral:rRNA from 1 species